UCCGUCUGGCUAUGACUUUUGUAAGACACUUCAAUUCUUCGCAUUUCCGUCUGUCUUUCUGAAAGAAGACAUAAGUGAUUCCCAAGGUCUCCUAUGGCCCUGAAAUUUUAUGAUUCUGGGCAAUCCAUAGGACAGACUUUUUAUCCUUACUUGACAGACAGAGAAGGUGUCAUGGCCCUCUAAACCAAGAAAACAGAAUUGCCAAAGGCAAGAUGAAAAGGACACUGGAAGGGGCCCCUUCCUCCUUCUUCAGAGAGCUUCAUUCUUACCCCAAGAGCCAAGAAAAAGGACAUCUAAGGACUUGGAAGCCCCAGGCAUGUGAUCUCCCAGCCUCUCUGUUCUCUAGCUAAGGGAUGCUUUACAACCUUCACAUUUAGUAUUUCCGGGACAUACUCUGUGCUAGGCCCAGGGAAGUGAGCUGAAUAACACCCAGCAGCAUUGAGAGGCAUAUGAAUGGCUUAUUGAAAUUCAAUACUCUAAGGGCUGGAAGAGAUGGAUGAGUAGCAAGCCAGAGAAGCACAGAGGCAGAAGUCCCUCUGACUACCUAAGGAAUACUUGAGAAAAUAUUAAUAGCCCACAUUUAUUAAGCACACAGCACAAGCCAGCACCCUAUUAAAUGCCUUACAUGAUGUA